AAGGCACAUCUCUGGGCUGUAACUGACGCUGAGAGCGAAAGCGUGGGAGCGAACAGGAUUAGAUACCCUGGUAGUCCACGCCGUAAACGGUGGGUGCUAGCUGUGGGCCACAUUCCACGUGGUCCGUGACGAAGUUAACACAUUAAGCACCCCGCCUGGGGAGUACGGCCGCAAGGCUAAAACUCAAAGGAAUUGACGGGGGCCCGCACAAGCGGCGGAGCAUGCGGAUUAAUUCGACGCAACGCGAAGAACCUUACCAAGGCUUGACAUAUACAGGAAAAGCGUAGAAAUACGCUCCCCGCAAGGUCUGUAUACAGGUGGUGCAUGGUUGUCGUCAGCUCGUGUCGUGAGAUGUUGGGUUAAGUCCCGCAACGAGCGCAACCCUCGUCCUAUGUUGCCAGCACGUAAUGGUGGGAACUCAUGGGAUACUGCCGGGGUCAACUCGGAGGAAGGUGGGGAUGACGUCAAAUCAUCAUGCCCCUUAUGUCUUGGGCUUCACGCAUGCUACAAUGGCCGGUACAGAGGGCUGCAAUACCGUAAGGUGGAGCGAAUCCCAAAAAGCCGGUCUCAGUUCGGAUUGAGGUCUGCAACUCGACCUCAUGAAGUCGGAGUCGCUAGUAAUCGUAGAUCAGCAACGCUACGGUGAAUACGUUCCCGGGCCUUGUACACACCGCCCGUCAAGUCACGAAAGUCGAUAACACCCGAAGCCGGUGGCCUAACCGCAAGGAGGGAGCCGUCGAAGGUGGGAUUGGUAAUUGGGACUAAGUCGUAACAAGGUAGCCGUACCGGAAGGUGCGGCUG
rnacentral:rRNA from 1 species